UCCUGUUCAUCAAAGGAGCACACAGACAUAAUAAAGGCUCUUAGUGUUUUACAGAGCCACAGUGCAGUGAAAAUACAACCAGAAUCAUGGACUGCAUUUCCAUACUGCUGGUUUUGGCAACUGCACCCUGUCUUUUCUGUAUUGAGCUGAAUCAGCCUCCUGUCAUGGUAGUAAAACCAGGAGAAACA